rnacentral:rRNA from 1 species
UACGGGGGGGGCAAGCGUUGUUCGGAAUUACUGGGGGGAAAGGGUUCGUAGGUGGCUUGCUAAGUCAGACGUGAAAUCCCUCAGCUUAACUGGGGAACUGCGUCUGAUACUGGCGAGCUUGAGUGCAGGAGAGGAACGCAGAAUUCCAGGUGUAGCGGUGAAAUGCGUAGAUAUCUGGAGGAAUACCGGUGGCGAAGGCGGCGUUCUGGACUGCAACUGACACUGAUGAACGAAAGCCAGGGGAGCAAACGGG